rnacentral:tRNA from 1 species
GCCUUUGUGGUGUAGUGGUCAGCACGCUCGACGCGUAACCGAGAGGUCCGUGGUUCGAUUCCCGGAGAAGGCG